GACGAACGCUGGCGGCGUGCUUAACACAUGCAAGUCGAACGGUGAAGCGCCUUCCUUUUUGGUGGGUGUGGAUGAGUGGCGAACGGGUGAGUAACACGUGGGUAACCUGCCCCCUUCUUCUGGAUAACCGCAUGAAAGUGUGGCUAAUACGGGAUAUUCUGGGUCUGUCGCAUGAUGGGUCUGGGAAAGAUAUUGUUUCGGUGGGGGAUGGGCUCGCGGCCUAUCAGCUUGUUGGUGGGGUGAUGGCCUACCAAGGCGGUGACGGGUAGCCGGCCUGAGAGGGUGGACGGUCACACUGGGACUGAGACACGGCCCAGAUUCCUACGGGAGGCAGCAGUGGGGAAUAUUGCACAAUGGGCGCAAGCCUGAUGCAGCGACGCCGCGUGAGGGAUGGAGGCCUUCGGGUUGUGAACCUCUUUCGCCAGUGAAGCAGGCCUGCCUCGUUUGUGGGUGGGUUGACGGUAGCUGGAUAAGAAGCGCCGGCUAACUACGUG
rnacentral:rRNA from 1 species